UGUUUUGCCAUGUGGCAAGUUUUUCUUCACCUUCACCACCAUGUGAUUCUUUCCCUUCUCUCCAUCAAAUUUUUAAUUAACGUAUCUAAUUAAUACAUCUAAAAUGGCCUACUACUAAACUUCCAAUUAAUUUAUUUAAAUUCUCCAUUAAAUUUUUAAUUAACGUUUCUAAUUAAUACAUCUAAAAUGACCUACUACUAAACUUCCAAUUAAUGUAUUUAAAUGGUUCCCUAUCAAGUUUUUCUUCACCUUCACCACCAUGUGAUUCUUCCCCUUCUCUUCAUCAAAUUUUUAAUUAACGUAUCUAAUUAAUACAUCUAAAAUGGUGAUCUACUACUAAACUUCCAAUUAAUGUAUUUAAAUUCUCCAUUAAAUUUUUAAUUAACGUAUCUAAUUAAUACAUCUAAAAUGGCCCACUACUAAACUUUCAAUUAAUGUAUUUAAAUGUUCCCCCUGUCAUUUAUAAUUCUCAUCAUUUUAUUUCUAAUUAAUUUAUUACGAUCCUUCACUUUUCCUCCACAUGACUUCUAAUUAAUCCAUCUUCGCCAAGUUUAAUUUGUUUAUUUAUUUUAAUUAUUUUGUAUGUACAAUUUUGAAAUUAUCAAAAUAAAUCAAGAGGAAAAAAAAGAAUGCUCACGUAAUAUAGAAAAUUUUUUUUAAAGCAAAGUAGAUAGUAAUUUUAAUUGUUUCAUCAGAAAAAAUUUAAUUACUAACAUUAU
rnacentral:lncRNA from 1 species